GUUAUAGAAUUUCAGCAAUACACGUCUACUUUAUAACGGUAACCAUUUGCCUCCUCCAUCUUACGUUCCGUUACAUGGGAAAAAAAUCAGUUGCUAACAAUUAAGAAUAGAUAGUGUUACAAUCCCAUUGUGGUAGGCCAUUCUGGCCCCACUUUCUACCGAUCUUUGAGUUCCUGCUCAAACUGAAGCAAUUUUUCACGGACAGGAUGCAGAAACAUCUUCAGAUCCAGGUUGAUCUGAAACUUAUCUUGCUGUGGAAGGUCCUUGUCAUCACUAAGCCGCACUUGCAGCUGCAAGUCUUCUAGCUCACCAAAACAAAACUCUGGGACAUCAAUAUGAGCCUUGACCAUCUUUUUCUCCUCUUUGACAAUCCACUCACCUUUGAUUUUCAAUGUCAACUCGUAAGUAUAACCAACUCGUUUCUUGUUUCUGACAGUCACCAAAAAUGCAUCACCAAAACAUUUGGACACUUCUGCUAUUUCUGCUUUGCCACUGGAGAACUCCAAGGAGCCAACUGACAUAAGCAGCUCCUUUAUCCUAUCGGUUGCCCAUUUAUUAAGGCUUUUCUCUUCCCAAGUUCCAGCCCUGUUCCAAAGGGAACCCAGUGUGGGGGGCUGAGAUUGGGAGGAAAUUAUAUCAUUUUGGGAAAGUUUCUUAGGAAGAGGAAGAGGGGCUGCAUCCGCCAUGGCUUCCCUCACCCAAUAGGUAUAAGAUGCACCCUGAGAGGGGUGUUUCUCCUCCGACAUUGCUGUUACAUUCUUGUCCUCCUCCAUGGAUGUGGAUCUUGAGCCAAAUAAUUUAUUUUUAG
rnacentral:misc_RNA from 1 species